AGUGUCAAAAGAAGAUUUAGGAAAACAAUCUAAAAUGUACCUUAUCCCUCAGAAAUGGAUACAUAUUAGUUUAUAGAAUCAAACUACUAGUUGAAAACUUGGAACAAAAAAAGGUAACAAAUUACAUCAUAUAUCAAACACCAUAGAACUUGUUCAUUAAAAAGUACAUAUACUGUAGAGCACUUGGCAAUCAAUAUACCAAGUAUCUGUCACACUGUAAAUAUUUCCUUAAAAGUAAAAAAGAUGAUUGCAUUAGGAGUUUUCACUUCUUAUAAGGUCCAUCUGAUACCUAUCAGUCGAUAUCUAGUUGGCGCGGCUCUUAAUAACAUCAAGUCCCAUUUCGGUUGGGUCGGUUGCUUGCAACUCAACCUGAAUUCCAUCAAGCUCUCUCUUGAAUCUUUCCUUUGUACUGGCAUAGAUCAUCUUGCUUCUCACUCUUGCUGUGUCA
rnacentral:misc_RNA from 1 species